GACGAACGCUGGCGGCGUGCUUAACACAUGCAAGUCGAACGGAAAGGCCCUGCUUUUGUGGGGUGCUCGAGUGGCGAACGGGUGAGUAACACGUGAGUAACCUGCCCUUGACUUUGGGAUAACUUCAGGAAACUGGGGCUAAUACCGGAUAGGAGCUCCUGCUGCAUGGUGGGGGUUGGAAAGUUUCGGCGGUUGGGGAUGGACUCGCGGCUUAUCAGCUUGUUGGUGGGGUAGUGGCUUACCAAGGCUUUGACGGGUAGCCGGCCUGAGAGGGUGACCGGCCACAUUGGGACUGAGAUACGGCCCAGACUCCUACGGGAGGCAGCAGUGGGGAAUAUUGCACAAUGGGCGGAAGCCUGAUGCAGCAACGCCGCGUGCGGGAUGACGGCCUUCGGGUUGUAAACCGCUUUCGCCUGUGACGAAGCGUGAGUGACGGUAAUGGGUAAAGAAGCACCGGCUAACUACGUGCCAGCAGCCGCGGUGAUACGUAGGGUGCGAGCGUUGUCCGGAUUUAUUGGGCGUAAAGGGCUCGUAGGUGGUUGAUCGCGUCGGAAGUGUAAUCUUGGGGCUUAACCCUGAGCGUGCUUUCGAUACGGGUUGACUUGAGGAAGGUAGGGGAGAAUGGAAUUCCUGGUGGAGCGGUGGAAUGCGCAGAUAUCAGGAGGAACACCAGUGGCGAAGGCGGUUCUCUGGGCCUUUCCUGACCCUGAGGAGCGAAAGCGUGGGGAGCGAACAGGCUUAGAUACCCUGGUAGUCCACGCUGUAAACGGUGGGUACUAGGUGUGGGGUCCAUUCCACGGGUUCCGUGCCGUAGCUAACGCUUUAAGUACCCCGCCUGGGGAGUACGGCCGCAAGGCUAAAACUCAAAGGAAUUGACGGGGCCCCGCACAAGCGGCGGAGCAUGCGGAUUAAUUCGAUGCAACGCGUAGAACCUUACCUGGGUUUGACAUGGAUCGGGAGCGCUCAGAGAUGGGUGUGCCUCUUUUGGGGUCGGUUCACAGGUGGUGCAUGGCUGUCGUCAGCUCGUGUCGUGAGAUGUUGGGUUAAGUCCCGCAACGAGCGCAACCCUUGUUCACUGUUGCCAGCACGUUAUGGUGGGGACUCAGUGGAGACCGCCGGGGUCAACUCGGAGGAAGGUGGGGAUGACGUCAAGUCAUCAUGCCUCUUAUGUCCAGGGCUUCACGCAUGCUACAAUGGCUGGUACAGAGAGUGGCGAGCCUGUGAGGGUGAGCGAAUCUCGGAAAGCCGGUCUCAGUUCGGAUUGGGGUCUGCAACUCGACCUCAUGAAGUCGGAGUCGCUAGUAAUCGCAGAUCAGCAACGCUGCGGUGAAUACGUUCCCGGGGCU
rnacentral:rRNA from 1 species